ACUCCUACGGGAGGCAGCAGUGGGGAAUAUUGCACAAUGGGCGCAAGCCUGAUGCAGCCAUGCCGCGUGUGUGAAGAAGGCCUUCGGGUUGUAAAGCACUUUCAGUUGUGAGGAAGGUGGUGUCGUUAAUAGCGGCAUCAUUUGACGUUAGCAACAGAAGAAGCACCGGCUAACUCCGUGCCAGCAGCCGCGGUAAUACGGAGGGUGCGAGCGUUAAUCGGAAUUACUGGGCGUAAAGCGCAUGCAGGUGGUUUGUUAAGUCAGAUGUGAAAGCCCGGGGCUCAACCUCGGAACUGCAUUUGAAACUGGCAGACUAGAGUACUGUAGAGGGGGGUAGAAUUUCAGGUGUAGCGGUGAAAUGCGUAGAGAUCUGAAGGAAUACCGGUGGCGAAGGCGGCCCCCUGGACAGAUACUGACACUCAGAUGCGAAAGCGUGGGGAGCGAAACAGGAUUAGAUACCCGUGGUAGCACAGAG
rnacentral:rRNA from 1 species